rnacentral:rRNA from 1 species
CCUACGGGGAGCAGCAGUGGGGAAUAUUGGGCAAUGGGCGCAAGCCUGACCCAGCAACGCCGCGUGAAGGAAGAAGGCUUUCGGGUUGUAAACUUCUUUUGUCAGGGAAGAGUAGAAGACGGUACCUGACGAAUAAGCCACGGCUAACUACGUGCCAGCAGCCGCGGUAAUACGUAGGUGGCAAGCGUGUUCCGGAUUUACUGGGUGUAAAGGGCGUGUAGCCGGGUUGACAAGUCAGAUGUGAAAUCCUGCGGCUUAACCGCAGAACUGCAUUUGAAACUGUUGAUCUUGAGUACUGGAGAGGCAGACGGAAUUCCUAGUGUAGCGGUGAAAUGCGUAGAUAUUAGGAGGAACACCAGUGGCGAAGGCGGUCUGCUGGACAGCAACUGACGGUGAGGCGCGAAAGCGUGGGGAGCAAACAGGAUUAGAUACCCGGGUAGUC